GACGGACGCUGGCGGCGUGCCUAAUACAUGCAAGUCGAACGCUUUUUCUUUCACCGGAGCUUGCUCCACCGAAAGAAAAAGAGUGGCGAACGGGUGAGUAACACGUGGGUAACCUGCCCAUCAGAAGGGGAUAACACUUGGAAACAGGUGCUAAUACCGUAUAACACUAUUUUCCGCAUGGAAGAAAGUUGAAAGGCGCUUUUGCGUCACUGAUGGAUGGACCCGCGGUGCAUUAGCUAGUUGGUGAGGUAACGGCUCACCAAGGCAACGAUGCAUAGCCUACCUGAGAGGGUGAUCGGCCACACUGGGACUGAGACACGGCCCAGACUCCUACGGGAGGCAGCAGUAGGGAAUCUUCGGCAAUGGACGAAAGUCUGACCGAGCAACGCCGCGUGA
rnacentral:rRNA from 1 species